rnacentral:rRNA from 1 species
UUGCUCUGCCGGCGACCGGCGCACGGGUGAGUAACACGUAUGCAACCUGCCCUCCGCAGGGGGAUAACCCGGAGAAAUCCGGACUAAUACCGCGUGGUACACUUGUGGGGCAUCCCACGGGUGUUAAAAGGAAGUGAUUCCGGCGGAGGAUGGGCAUGCGGCGCAUUAGCUUGUUGGCGGGGUAACGGCCCACCAAGGCGACGAUGCGUAGGGGUUCUGAGAGGAAGGUCCCCCACACUGGUACUGAGACACGGACCAGACUCCUACGGGAGGCAGCAGUGAGGAAUAUUGGUCAAUGGGCGGGAGCCUGAACCAGCCAAGUCGCGUGAGGGAAGACGGUCCUAUGGAUUGUAAACCUCUUUAGGCGGGGAGCAAUGCCGGGCACGCGUGCCCGGAGGGAGAGUACCCGCAGAAUAAGCAUCGGCUAACUCCGUGCCAGCAGCCGCGGUAAUACGGAGGAUGCGAGCGUUAUCCGGAUUUAUUGGGUUUAAAGGGUGCGUAGGCGGAUUUUUAAGUCAGCGGUAAAAUGUCCGGGCUCAACCCGGGCCGGCCGUUGAAACUGGGGAUCUUGAGUGGGCGAGAAGUAUGCGGAAUGCGUGGUGUAGCGGUGAAAUGCAUAGAUAUCACGCAGAACUCCGAUUGCGAAGGCAGCAUACCGGCGCCCGACUGACGCUGAGGCACGAAAGCGUGGGGAUCGAACAGGAUUAGAUACCCUGGUAGUCCACGCAGUAAACGAUGAAUGCUAGUUGUCCGG